UACGAAAGUUGCAAGCGUUACUCGGAAUCACUGGGCGUAAAGCGCACGUAGGCGGACUCGUAGGUCAAUUGUGAAAUACCUGGGCUCAACCCGGGAACUGCAGUUGAAACCGCUUGUCUUGAAUACCUGAGAGGGUGGGGGAAUACCUGGUGGAGAAGUGAAAUUCGUAGAGAUCAGGUGGAACACCGGAGGCGAAGGCGCCUGCCUGGCAGUGUAUUGACGCUGAGGUGCGAAAGUGCGGGGAGCAAACAGG
rnacentral:rRNA from 1 species